AAUCAACGCUGGCGGCGUGCCUCAGACAUGCAAGUCGAACGAGAAAGUUCCCUUCGGGGAGCGAGUAAAGUGGCGCACGGGUGAGUAACACGUAGGUAAUCUACCUUCGGGUGGGGAAUAACCCAGGGAAACUUGGGCUAACACCGCAUAAUGCAGCGGCACCACAUGGUGACAGUUGUUAAAGCGGGGGAUUUCGAACCUCGCGCCUGAAGAGGAGCCUGCGGCGGAUUAGCUUGUUGGAAGGUAACGGCUUACCAAGGCGACGAUCCGUAGCCGGCCUGAGAGGGCGGUCGGCCACACUGACACUGACAUACGGGUCAGACUCCUACGGGAGGGCAGCAGUCGGGAA
rnacentral:rRNA from 1 species